UGUCUUAUAGUUUAAUAAAAAUAUUAUUUUUGUAAAAUAGAGAUGGAACUAGGAUAG
rnacentral:tRNA from 1 species